CUUUAAUGGUUGAGAAGCUUACCCAAGCUGAGUUUGCUCAAGAAACAUUCUGCAUAGAUAGACAAAGCAGAAAGAGAAACCGAGUUGUCAGUUCGCUCGGACAAGUUAAAAAUAAUGGAAAGAGAUGAAAAAGAAAGCUCUGGAAUGGAAGAGGUUGGCAAUGGAAUCAGGAAGUCAGCCCAUGAUUAUGAUGCAUCAUCUGGAAGAGGCCCAAUAUUUGAGUUUUUCUCUGGGAAUGAUAACGGUGAUCGACAUGCCGUUUUGGAUGCAAAUAGUUCUGGAUUUCCAGAUUUCUUUCAACAUUUCAGGCCUUUCCCCGAUGCGUGACCCCCUGUGUCACACCGCGGUGACAACUUGGCGAACCUUCUUAUAUAUCUGGCUGCCCCUUCUGUUUCUUUACAUUCAGAUGUACCGAUUUCAGUCUUUGCAGUGCAGGUAAUCAUGUAAAAAAUCAUGAUUGAAUUCAUUGUUAGUAAUGGGCCCGAAUCAUGAUUUGUUCCAACUGUUUGCCGAUAAAAUCUGGAAUGUCAUCUGUGGGCGUUUCUAUGUCAACUAAAACAGGAGAACUUGGACUGCAUAACAAUUUAUAAUGCCAUUCCGUGCCUUUACCUGUUGUGGAAAUAGAGGUCAAUUAGCAUAGCUCAGCAAAUGAGGGAACUGGAUUGAGAAGUAGUUGGGGAAUCCUCUGAAGAUUCUGUACCUUGUGGACACACUACUGUUCAAGUAACAAUACAAUAUGGAUGUGUAGUUCUGGGAUAAUUUAUGUUUAAGAAACUGGUUUUCCUGGAUGUGUUAAUAGCCAUUCUACUUCAGAUAUUUUGUUUCAGCCAAAGAACUUGCCGAAACUUGUGAAGGAGAAAUAAUCUGAGCGGCAUUUUGGAGUUGUUUGUGUUCAUUUUGGCUUUUCUACUUCGUGAAAGACUUCCCGAUGUUAAUCUUACCUUGGCAUUUUCAUACAUCUCCCAGAGUCACAAUUGGUUUGCUUUUACUCAAACAAAA